rnacentral:rRNA from 1 species
UACGUAGGUGGCAAGCGUUGUCCGGAAUUACUGGGCGUAAAGGGUGCGUAGGCGGUUCAUUAAGUGGGAUGUGAAAUACCCGGGCUCAACUCGGGAACUGCAUUCCAAACUGGUGAGCUAGAGUGCAGGAGAGGAAAGUGGAAUUCCCAGUGUAGCGGUGAAAUGCGUAGAGAUUGGGAGGAACACCAGUGGCGAAGGCGACUUUCUGGACUGUAACUGACGCUGAGGCACGAAAGUGUGGGGAGCAAACAGG